rnacentral:rRNA from 1 species
AUUGAACGCUGGCGGCAGGCCUAACACAUGCAAGUCGAACGAGUGGCGGACGGGUGAGUAAUGUCUGGGAAACUGCCUGAUGGAGGGGGAUAACUACUGGAAACGGUAGCUAAUACCGCAUACCAUCAGAUGUACCCAUAUGGGAUUAGCUAGUGGGUGGGGUAAAGGCUCACCAAGGCGACGAUCUCUAGCUGGUCUGAGAGGAUGACCAGCCACACUGGAACUGAGACACGGCCCAGACUCCUACGGGAGGCAGCAGUGGGGAAUAUUGCACAAUGGGCGCAAGCCUGAUGCAGCCAUGCCGCGUGUAUGAAGAAGGCCUUAGGGUUGUAAAGUACUUUCAGCGGGGAGGCGUUACCCACAGAAGAAGCACCGGCUAACUCCGUGCCAGCAGCCGCGGUAAUUC